rnacentral:rRNA from 1 species
UGCUAAUCUGCGAUAAGCGUCGGUAAGGUGAUAUGAACCGUUAUAACCGGCGAUUUCCGAAUGGGGAAACCCAGUGUGUUUCGACACACUAUCAUUAACUGAAUCCAUAGGUUAAUGAGGCGAACCGGGGGAACUGAAACAUCUAAGUACCCCGAGGAAAAGAAAUCAACCGAGAUUCCCCCAGUAGCGGCGAGCGAACGGGGAGCAGCCCAGAGCCUGAAUCAGUGUGUGUGUUAGUGGAAGCGUCUGGAAAGGCGUGCGAUACAGGGUGACAGCCCCGUACACAAAAAUGCACAUGCUGUGAGCUCGAUGAGUAGGGCGGGACACGUGGUAUCCUGUCUGAAUAUGGGGGGACCAUCCUCCAAGGCUAAAUACUCCUGACUGACCGAUAGUGAACCAGUACCGUGAGGGAAAGGCGAAAAGAACCCCGGCGAGGGGAGUGAAAAAGAACCUGAAACCGUGUACGUACAAGCAGUGGGAGCACGCUUAGGCGUGUGACUGCGUACCUUUUGUAUAAUGGGUCAGCGACUUAUAUUCUGUAGCAAGGUUAACCGAAUAGGGGAGCCGAAGGGAAACCGAGUCUUAACUGGGCGUUAAGUUGCAGGGUAUAGACCCGAAACCCGGUGAUCUAGCCAUGGGCAGGUUGAAGGUUGGGUAACACUAACUGGAGGACCGAACCGACUAAUGUUGAAAAAUUAGCGGAUGACUUGUGGCUGGGGGUGAAAGGCCAAUCAAACCGGGAGAUAGCUGGUUCUCCCCGAAAGCUAUUUAGGUAGCGCCUCGUGAAUUCAUCUCCGGGGGUAGAGCACUGUUUCGGCAAGGGGGUCAUCCCGACUUACCAACCCGAUGCAAACUGCGAAUACCGGAGAAUGUUAUCACGGGAGACACACGGCGGGUGCUAACGUCCGUCGUGAAGAGGGAAACAACCCAGACCGCCAGCUAAGGUCCCAAAGUCAUGGUUAAGUGGGAAACGAUGUGGGAAGGCCCAGACAGCCAGGAUGUUGGCUUAGAAGCAGCCAUCAUUUAAAGAAAGCGUAAUAGCUCACUGGUCGAGUCGGCCUGCGCGGAAGAUGUAACGGGGCUAAACCAUGCACCGAAGCUGCGGCAGCGACGCUUAUGCGUUGUUGGGUAGGGGAGCGUUCUGUAAGCCUGCGAAGGUGUGCUGUGAGGCAUGCUGGAGGUAUCAGAAGUGCGAAUGCUGACAUAAGUAACGAUAAAGCGGGUGAAAAGCCCGCUCGCCGGAAGACCAAGGGUUCCUGUCCAACGUUAAUCGGGGCAGGGUGAGUCGACCCCUAAGGCGAGGCCGAAAGGCGUAGUCGAUGGGAAACAGGUUAAUAUUCCUGUACUUGGUGUUACUGCGAAGGGGGGACGGAGAAGGCUAUGUUGGCCGGGCGACGGUUGUCCCGGUUUAAGCGUGUAGGCUGGUUUUCCAGGCAAAUCCGGAAAAUCAAGGCUGAGGCGUGAUGACGAGGCACUACGGUGCUGAAGCAACAAAUGCCCUGCUUCCAGGAAAAGCCUCUAAGCAUCAGGUAACAUCAAAUCGUACCCCAAACCGACACAGGUGGUCAGGUAGAGAAUACCAAGGCGCUUGAGAGAACUCGGGUGAAGGAACUAGGCAAAAUGGUGCCGUAACUUCGGGAGAAGGCACGCUGAUAUGUAGGUGAAGUCCCUCGCGGAUGGAGCUGAAAUCAGUCGAAGAUACCAGCUGGCUGCAACUGUUUAUUAAAAACACAGCACUGUGCAAACACGAAAGUGGACGUAUACGGUGUGACGCCUGCCCGGUGCCGGAAGGUUAAUUGAUGGGGUCAGCGCAAGCGAAGCUCUUGAUCGAAGCCCCGGUAAACGGCGGCCGUAACUAUAACGGUCCUAAGGUAGCGAAAUUCCUUGUCGGGUAAGUUCCGACCUGCACGAAUGGCGUAAUGAUGGCCAGGCUGUCUCCACCCGAGACUCAGUGAAAUUGAACUCGCUGUGAAGAUGCAGUGUACCCGCGGCAAGACGGAAAGACCCCGUGAACCUUUACUAUAGCUUGACACUGAACAUUGAGCCUUGAUGUGUAGGAUAGGUGGGAGGCUUUGAAGUGUGGACGCCAGUCUGCAUGGAGCCGACCUUGAAAUACCACCCUUUAAUGUUUGAUGUUCUAACGUUGACCCGUAAUCCGGGUUGCGGACAGUGUCUGGUGGGUAGUUUGACUGGGGCGGUCUCCUCCUAAAGAGUAACGGAGGAGCACGAAGGUUGGCUAAUCCUGGUCGGACAUCAGGAGGUUAGUGCAAUGGCAUAAGCCAGCUUGACUGCGAGCGUGACGGCGCGAGCAGGUGCGAAAGCAGGUCAUAGUGAUCCGGUGGUUCUGAAUGGAAGGGCCAUCGCUCAACGGAUAAAAGGUACUCCGGGGAUAACAGGCUGAUACCGCCCAAGAGUUCAUAUCGACGGCGGUGUUUGGCACCUCGAUGUCGGCUCAUCACAUCCUGGGGCUGAAGUAGGUCCCAAGGGUAUGGCUGUUCGCCAUUUAAAGUGGUACGCGAGCUGGGUUUAGAACGUCGUGAGACAGUUCGGUCCCUAUCUGCCGUGGGCGCUGGAGAACUGAGGGGGGCUGCUCCUAGUACGAGAGGACCGGAGUGGACGCAUCACUGGUGUUCGGGUUGUCAUGCCAAUGGCACUGCCCGGUAGCUAAAUGCGGAAGAGAUAAGUGCUGAAAGCAUCUAAGCACGAAACUUGCCCCGAGAUGAGUUCUCCCUGACUCCUUGAGAGUCCUGAAGGAACGUUGAAGACGACGACGUUGAUAGGCCGGGUGUGUAAGCGCAGCGAUGCGUUGAGCUAACCGGUACUAAUGAACCGUGAGGCUUAACCUU